rnacentral:lncRNA from 1 species
CUUUACAACCAUUGAAUCUAUAUGUUUGACCAUGACAGUUUACAAUCUAAGGUGCGGGAGCAGUAUGAUGAUGUGUUGAGCUCUGGCCAGCAGGCCUUCCUAUUGGAGGAGACAAAUCAGAGUCCAGACAUGUUCCAGACGUGUAGGUAGUCUGCCUCCAGCGGGGAAGGCCUCUGUCAGCCUGGACUAUGUGACGGACAAGUUGAAAGGUGUGUUAGUGCUGGGCUGGAACAAAAACAUCAUAAUCUAUCUCAGUGGACACAGAGAGCUUAGUGACCUGGCAAGCAGCCUGUUGAGAACGAGCUGAGCUUCAGUCUCAAGCCUGCAGAGGACACUGGGACCUGAGCCCUAGGACCAUGCCUCAGGACUACCUGGUAUGAUGACUCCUUGCUGUCCCCAGUCCACCUGGCCGUGCUGCUGCUCCAGUUUCAACUGUUCUGCCUGCGGCUAUGGAACCCUGACCUGUUCACCGGACGUGCUUGUUGCACCCUCGACAACUACUAUGAUUAUUAUUAUUUGACCAUGCUGGUCAUUUAUGAACAUUUUAACAUCUUGACCAUGUUCUGUUAUAAUAUCCACCCUGCACAGCCAGAAGAGGACUGGCCACCCCUCAUAGCCUGGUUCCUCUCUAGGUUUCUUCCUAGGUUUUUGGCCUUUCUAGGGAGUUUUUCCUAGGGAGUUUUUCCUAGCCACCGUGCUUCUUUCACAUGCAUUGCUUGCUGUUUGGGGUUUUAGGCUGGGUUUCUGUACAGCACUUUGAGAUAUCAGCUGAUGUACGAAGGGCUAUAUAAAUAAAUUUGAUUUGAUUUGAUUUGAUUCAAAAUGUACACUGAAGAUGGAUGUGGAGGACCAAGCUGAUAUGGCUGUGUGAUGCUCAGCGUCAAAGUUUAGCACAAAGAGUAAGACACGUGAAAGUAACAGUAAGCACUGUCUAAAUGUUUUUACAAAUAUUAUUAUUAUUGUUGGGAAGGGCCUGUAAGUAAGCAUUUCACUGUUAGUCUACAGCUGUUUAGGAAGCAUGUGUAAAUUAAAAUGUUAUUUGAAAUGAAGUCUGUUUGGUUUAGAAAGAAAUUCAAAUCAAAUCAAAUGUGUCAUAUACUCUGAAAACCGUGACAUGCUUACUUACAACAAAGAAAAUAGAGUUAGGAAAAUAUUUACUAAAUAAACAAAAGUUUUGAAAAAAGUUACAAUAACAAGGCUAUAUACAGGAAGUACCGGUACAGAGUCAAUGUGCGAGUACAGGUUAGUCGAGGUAAUUUGUACAUGUAGGUAGGGGUAAAGUGACUAUGCAUAGAUGAUAAACAGCGAGCAGCAGCAGUGUAAAAACAAAGGGGGGGUGUCAUUGGCAAAUAGUCCGGGUGGCCAUUUGAUUAAUUGUUCAGCAGUCUUACGGCUUGGGGGUAGAAGCUGUUAAGGAGCCUUUUGGACCUAGACUUGGUGCUCCGGUACUGCUUGCCAUGUGGCAGCAGAGAGAACAGUCUAUGUGUUGCCGCUUUGCUUGUUUGAUGGUUCGUCUGAGGGCAUAGCGGGAUUUCUUAUAAGCAUCCGGAAUAGUGCCCCACUCCUUGAAAGCGGCUGAUCUAGCCUUUAGCUCAGUGUGGAUGUUGACUGGCAGGUUACCAGGAGGAGAGAAUGCCAAGAGUGUGCAAAGCUGUCAUCAAGGCAAAGGGUGGCUACUUUGAAGAGUCUCAAAUAUAAAAUAUAUUUAGAUUUGUUUAACACUUUUUUGCUUACCACAUGAUUCCAUAUGUG